GUUAAAGUGUAAAUAUGAAAAAGUUGAAGGACCAAUAGUGUAAAUAAUUUAAGAGUGGAAUGAUCUAGAAACUAAGGAAAAUGGAUGAAUUAGGACCAAAUUGAAUAGAUGAAGAACUAUGAAGGACUAAAUUACAAUUUUACCAAAUUAAAUGAUGACUCAAGGAUGGAAUUUUAAAAGAUAAUGAAGGGCAAAAUGGUC
rnacentral:lncRNA from 1 species